ACAGGGAUUGCCCUAGUAACGGCGAGUGAAGCGGCAACAGCUCAAAUUUGAAAUCUGGCUCUUUUAGAGUCCGAGUUGUAAUUUGCAGAGGGCGCUUUGGCUUUGGCAGCGGUCCAAGUUCCUUGGAACAGGACGUCACAGAGGGUGAGAAUCCCGUACGUGGUCGCUGGCUAUUGCCGUGUAAAGCCCCUUCGACGAGUCGAGUUGUUUGGGAAUGCAGCUCUAAAUGGGAGGUACAUUUCUUCUAAAGCUAAAUAUUGGCCAGAGACCGAUAGCGCACAAGUAGAGUGAUCGAAAGAUGAAAAGCACUUUGGAAAGAGAGUCAAACAGCACGUGAAAUUGUUGAAAGGGAAGCGCUUGCAGCCAGACUUGCUUGCAGUUGCUCAUCCGGGCUUUUGCCCGGUGCACUCUUCUGUAGGCAGGCCAGCAUCAGUUUGGGCGGUAGGAUAAAGGUCUCUGUCACGUACCUCCUCUCGGGGAGGCCUUAUAGGGGAGACGACAUACUACCAGCCUGGACUGAGGUCCGCGCAUCUGCUAGGAUGCUGGCGUAAUGGCUGUAAGCGGCCCGUCUUGAAACACGGACCAAGGAGUCUAACAUCUAUGCGAGUGUUUGGGUGUCAAGCCCGAGCGCGUAAUGAAAGUGAACGGAGGUGGGAACCCGCAAGGGUGCACCAUCGACCGAUCCUGAUGUCUUCGGAAGGAUUUGAGUAAGAGCAUGGCUGUUGGGACCCGAAAGAUGGUGAACUAUGCUUGAAUAGGGUGAAGCCAGAGGAAACUCUGGUGGAGGCUCGCAGCGGUUCUGACGUGCAAAUCGAUCGUCAAAUUUGGGCAUAGGGGCGAAAGACUAAU
rnacentral:rRNA from 2 species